GCGUUAAUCGGAAUUACUGGGCUUAAAGGGUGCGUAGGCGGACCAGAAAGUGCUUUGUGAAAUCCCCCGGCUCAACCGGGGAACAGCGGGGCAUACUGCUGGUCUUGAGGCAAGUAAGGGUUGCGAGAACUGUAGGUGGAGCGGUGAAAUGCGUAGAUAUCUACAGGAAUGCCGAUGGUGAAGACGCGCAACUGGGCUUGUCCUGACGCUGAGGCACGAAAGCGUGGGGAGCAAACAGG
rnacentral:rRNA from 1 species